rnacentral:rRNA from 1 species
UACGGAGGGUGCGAGCGUUGUCCGGAAUCAUUGGGCGUAAAGGGCGCGUAGGUGGCCCGGUCAGUCUUUGGUGAAAGCGCGGGGCUCAACCCUGCGUCGGCCAGGGAUACUGCCGCGGCUCGAGCACUGUAGAGGCAGGCGGAAUUCCGGGUGUAGCGGUGGAAUGCGUAGAGAUCCGGAAGAACACCGGUGGCGAAGGCGGCCUGCUGGGCAGUAGCUGACACUGAGGCGCGACAGCGUGGGGAGCAAACAGG